rnacentral:rRNA from 1 species
AGCGUACACGGUGGAUGCCCUGGCAGUCAGAGGCGAUGAAGGACGUGCUAAUCUGCGAUAAGCGUCGGUAAGGUGAUAUGAACCGUUAUAACCGGCGAUUUCCGAAUGGGGAAACCCAGUGUGUUUCGACACACUAUCAUUAACUGAAUCCAUAGGUUAAUGAGGCGAACCGGGGGAACUGAAACAUCUAAGUACCCCGAGGAAAAGAAAUCAACCGAGAUUCCCCCAGUAGCGGCGAGCGAACGGGGAGGAGCCCAGAGCCUGAAUCAGUGUGUGUGUUAGUGGAAGCGUCUGGAAAGGCGCGCGAUACAGGGUGACAGCCCCGUACACAAAAAUGCACAUGCUGUGAGCUCGAUGAGUAGGGCGGGACACGUGGUAUCCUGUCUGAAUAUGGGGGGACCAUCCUCCAAGGCUAAAUACUCCUGACUGACCGAUAGUGAACCAGUACCGUGAGGGAAAGGCGAAAAGAACCCCGGCGAGGGGAGUGAAAAAGAACCUGAAACCGUGUACGUACAAGCAGUGGGAGCACGCUUAGGCGUGUGACUGCGUACCUUUUGUAUAAUGGGUCAGCGACUUAUAUUCUGUAGCAAGGUUAACCGAAUAGGGGAGCCGAAGGGAAACCGAGUCUUAACUGGGCGUUAAGUUGCAGGGUAUAGACCCGAAACCCGGUGAUCUAGCCAUGGGCAGGUUGAAGGUUGGGUAACACUAACUGGAGGACCGAACCGACUAAUGUUGAAAAAUUAGCGGAUGACUUGUGGCUGGGGGUGAAAGGCCAAUCAAACCGGGAGAUAGCUGGUUCUCCCCGAAAGCUAUUUAGGUAGCGCCUCGUGAACUCAUCUCCGGGGGUAGAGCACUGUUUCGGCAAGGGGGUCAUCCCGACUUACCAACCCGAUGCAAACUGCGAAUACCGGAGAAUGUUAUCACGGGAGACACACGGCGGGUGCUAACGUCCGUCGUGAAGAGGGAAACAACCCAGACCGCCAGCUAAGGUCCCAAAGUCAUGGUUAAGUGGGAAACGAUGUGGGAAGGCCCAGACAGCCAGGAUGUUGGCUUAGAAGCAGCCAUCAUUUAAAGAAAGCGUAAUAGCUCACUGGUCGAGUCGGCCUGCGCGGAAGAUGUAACGGGGCUAAACCAUGCACCGAAGCUGCGGCAGCGACGCUUAUGCGUUGUUGGGUAGGGGAGCGUUCUGUAAGCCUGUGAAGGUGUGCUGUGAGGCAUGCUGGAGGUAUCAGAAGUGCGAAUGCUGACAUAAGUAACGAUAAAGCGGGUGAAAAGCCCGCUCGCCGGAAGACCAAGGGUUCCUGUCCAACGUUAAUCGGGGCAGGGUGAGUCGACCCCUAAGGCGAGGCCGAAAGGCGUAGUCGAUGGGAAACAGGUUAAUAUUCCUGUACUUGGUGUUACUGCGAAGGGGGGACGGAGAAGGCUAUGUUGGCCGGGCGACGGUUGUCCCGGUUUAAGCGUGUAGGCUGGUUUUCCAGGCAAAUCCGGAAAAUCAAGGCUGAGGCGUGAUGACGAGGCACUACGGUGCUGAAGCAACAAAUGCCCUGCUUCCAGGAAAAGCCUCUAAGCAUCAGGUAACAUCAAAUCGUACCCCAAACCGACACAGGUGGUCAGGUAGAGAAUACCAAGGCGCUUGAGAGAACUCGGGUGAAGGAACUAGGCAAAAUGGUGCCGUAACUUCGGGAGAAGGCACGCUGAUAUGUAGGUGAAGUCCCUUGCGGAUGGAGCUGAAAUCAGUCGAAGAUACCAGCUGGCUGCAACUGUUUAUUAAAAACACAGCACUGUGCAAACACGAAAGUGGACGUAUACGGUGUGACGCCUGCCCGGUGCCGGAAGGUUAAUUGAUGGGGUCAGCGCAAGCGAAGCUCUUGAUCGAAGCCCCGGUAAACGGCGGCCGUAACUAUAACGGUCCUAAGGUAGCGAAAUUCCUUGUCGGGUAAGUUCCGACCUGCACGAAUGGCGUAAUGAUGGCCAGGCUGUCUCCACCCGAGACUCAGUGAAAUUGAACUCGCUGUGAAGAUGCAGUGUACCCGCGGCAAGACGGAAAGACCCCGUGAACCUUUACUAUAGCUUGACACUGAACAUUGAGCCUUGAUGUGUAGGAUAGGUGGGAGGCUUUGAAGUGUGGACGCCAGUCUGCAUGGAGCCGACCUUGAAAUACCACCCUUUAAUGUUUGAUGUUCUAACGUUGACCCGUAAUCCGGGUUGCGGACAGUGUCUGGUGGGUAGUUUGACUGGGGCGGUCUCCUCCUAAAGAGUAACGGAGGAGCACGAAGGUUGGCUAAUCCUGGUCGGACAUCAGGAGGUUAGUGCAAUGGCAUAAGCCAGCUUGACUGCGAGCGUGACGGCGCGAGCAGGUGCGAAAGCAGGUCAUAGUGAUCCGGUGGUUCUGAAUGGAAGGGCCAUCGCUCAACGGAUAAAAGGUACUCCGGGGAUAACAGGCUGAUACCGCCCAAGAGUUCAUAUCGACGGCGGUGUUUGGCACCUCGAUGUCGGCUCAUCACAUCCUGGGGCUGAAGUAGGUCCCAAGGGUAUGGCUGUUCGCCAUUUAAAGUGGUACGCGAGCUGGGUUUAGAACGUCGUGAGACAGUUCGGUCCCUAUCUGCCGUGGGCGCUGGAGAACUGAGGGGGGCUGCUCCUAGUACGAGAGGACCGGAGUGGACGCAUCACUGGUGUUCGGGUUGUCAUGCCAAUGGCACUGCCCGGUAGCUAAAUGCGGAAGAGAUAAGUGCUGAAAGCAUCUAAGCACGAAACUUGCCCCGAGAUGAGUUCU